rnacentral:lncRNA from 1 species
UUUUUUUUUUCUUUUUGCCUUAGAUACUUGGAAGCCAAGAUUGGAAUUUCAUGCUCAGUACCCACAGACUAAGAAUAUUUGCCAGUGUUACAUCUCUUUUAGAAUUUGUCUAGCAGCUUUUCCAGUUUUCACCGGCGGGGAAAAAGAAGUAAAAAAAGAAGGCUGAGCAUGGUGGCUCACACCCGUAAUCCCAGCACUUUGGGAGGCCAAGGCAGAAGGAUAGCUUGAGCCCAGGAGUUUGAGACCAUUUGGGCAGUAAAACAAAACCUCAUCUUCACAAUAAAGAAAGAAAGAAAAGGAAAAAAUAAUAUUUAUUAGUUUAUUUUUCUUAAAUUUUGAUUUCUGUCAGUCUUGUUUCACUUUGUUACUAAUGCCUACUAAUAUGCUUUCCUACUUAUUUAAAUCAGUAUUGAUUUUUUUAAAACUGGUAAAAUUCAUUGCAGCCAUGUGGGAGUAGCUAGAGUUUAGUAGGUUACAGGAAUAAAGACAUGCUGAAGCUAUCCUGCAGGACUCAAGGGGACAGAACAUGAUUUGAGAAUUGAAAAUUCCUUCUUGAUGUCCAGCUGUUCUGGUAACUGGGUAGCUUCUAAUGGCUCCAUUGUAUGCUCCACUAUAAUGGAGACAAUUAUUCUGAAUCUGAUUGUCCUUCCAAUAAGUCACCAAUACGUGUACCCUCUUCUUUUGCUCAACAUAAUGGCCUCUGUUGUAUUAGCUUCUCCUUCUUGGCUUCUCCUGCUUGUAGGCUUCUACUAAUUACAUUUCUCUUUUUCUUUCAGUUUUUGCCUUUGCUAACAGUUGAACUCCUUUCAAAGAAAGGUGAUAUUCUUCAGUCUAGUUAGCUACAAUUAUCUCCGUUGAACAGUCUUCAUGACCAGACAAAUCAUAGGUUUUUGACUGAACGAUGGGUUGCUUUUCCUUGGAUUAGAUAACUGCUCUCAUUCACAUCAAUUGUGGUUAAGGUGACAGGGUCGUCUUAUACAAGAAAAGAACUACACACAGAAGUAAUAUUCUAGAAGAAGACUAUAGGGAAAAUCCUUUCUAAGAGACUGUAAGCAGACAGCUAUCUUAAGGCUUAGCUUAUUCAGUAUUGCUGUUAAAAGUAAGAUGCAUAAGGCAAAUAUUACUCUCAGGAUGGUAUACAUAUA